GAUGAACGCUGGCGGCGUGCCUAAUACAUGCAAGUCGAGCGAACAGACGAGGAGCUUGCUCCUCUGACGUUAGCGGCGGACGGGUGAGUAACACGUGGAUAACCUACCUAUAAGACUGGGAUAACUUCGGGAAACCGGAGCUAAUACCGGAUAAUAUAUUGCACCGCAUGGUUCAAUAGUGAAAGACGGUUUUGCUGUCACUUAUAGAUGGUUCCGCGCCGCAUUAGCUAGUUGGUAAGGUAACGGCUUACCAAGGCAACGAUGCGUAGCCGACCUGAGAGAGUGAUCGGCCACACUGGAAGUGAGACACGGUCCAGACUCCGACGGGAGGCAGCAGUAGGGAAUCUUCCGCGAUGGGCGAAAGCCUGACGGAGCAACGCCGCGUGAGUGAUGAAGGUCUUCGGAUCGGAAAGCUCUGUUAUUAGGGAAGAACAAAUGUGUAAGUAACUAUGCACGUCUUGACGGUACCUAAUCAGAAAGCCACGGCUAACUACGUG
rnacentral:rRNA from 1 species